AGAGAGACCCCAGCAGCAGCAGCAGCUGAUGAUGAAGAGAGAGGCAGUGGCAGAGGGGGGGCACCUUUUAUUUCUAUUUUUAAAGGGACAGGACACUAAUUUUACCCCACUUCAACCUUGAAUUGAGGGGGGUGGGGGGAAGGCGGCUGAGUUCCUUCCCCCACCCUCCAGCCCUGAGACCUGAGAGGGGGAUUGAGCCUGAGAAAGAAGGAGAAGGAGUUUCUUCUUCUUCCAAACCCCCCCAUCCACGACUCCUACCCCCUCACCCCUCCACUAGCCUCCCUCCCGAGCCCUCUCCAUCCUCCUCCUCUUUGGCCGUGAGAGGAGAGAAAGAGACCAAAAGCCUCUUAGCAACACAGACCCUUCUCUGCUGCUGCUGCUGCUGCUGUUGCUGUUGCUGCUGCUGUUGCUGCUGCUGCUGCUGCUGCUACUGCUGCUUGGCCCUGGCUGGAGACAUCUCACUACACCCAGGAGCAGCCACUUCCCCAGCUCUCCUCCUCCUUCGCCUCCUCCUCCUCCUCCACUCCCCCCCUCUUUAUUACCCUUUGUGUCAUCCUCCACAGCUCCAGGGAAGGCACUCAAAAGUGGGGGGCAGGAAAGGAUGCCACCACCUUCCUGUGACAUGCUACCUUGAAACUUCAUCUUUAUAUUGGGAUUAUAAAGUUCUACCCAACCAGAAUUUAAAUAUUCCAAAAACAAAGACAUAAAACAAAAGAUGCUUAUUGAGGAUAUCAUUUUCUGUGUGUGGGAAUUAGAUACUGAAGGUUACAUGGUUUACAGACAAGAUCUUUAAAAAGAGACAUUCAAGGACCAAGGAAAUAAAUACCAGAAACCAAGAGCACAGAGUAUUUUCCUUCAUCAAACCAUAGACUCUUCUCUAGUUUAAUCAAACACAAAAGAAUGACCACCUUGGCAAAUGG
rnacentral:lncRNA from 1 species